GAUGAAGAACGUAUCGAAAUGCGAUAAGUAGUGUGAAUUGCAGAAUCCGUGAGUCAUCGAAUCUUUGAACGCACAUUGCGCCCCUUGGUUAUUCCGAAGGGCAUGCCUGUUCGAGCGUCAUUAUCACCCCUCAAGCCCUGGCUUGGCGUUGGACUUUAGUUAUAGCUUUGCCUAUCAACUGGUCUCAAAGAUAGUGACGGCGCCCCAGAGGGAACCGGGUACGAGGAGCUUUUUACUAAGCAUGUAUCUGGGACGACUCUGGGCGACGGUCUUGUUAUACUUUUUACCUAAGUGUUGACCUCGGAUCAGGUAGGAAUACCCGCUGAACUUAAGCAUAUCAAUAAGCGGAGGA
rnacentral:misc_RNA from 1 species